rnacentral:snRNA from 1 species
GGAUGUGAGCUGGCUGUGACAUCUGCCCUUGCGUUGAUUGCCAAGAUUGAUCUGGCUGGUCUGGCUAGCUGGGCGGCUGUUCCCUUCCUUCUUCACUGCUCCAUGUGCAUCCCUCCAGCAGCUGUUCACCUGGUAGAAGAGGACAAACUUCUUUCUACUUGCGCUCCCCUGCCUCCCUGCUAGAACCUCCAAACAAGCUUUCAGGUGUUCCUUCUGUUAAAAACAAAAAACAACAAACAAACAAACAAACAAACAAAAAACCUUU